GUGCCAGCAGCCGCGGUAAUACGGAGGGUGCGAGCGUUGUUCGGAAUUACUGGGCGUAAAGGGCGCGUAGGCGGUAGUGAUAGUCAGGUGUGAAAUCCUUCGGCUUAACCGGAGAACUGCAUCUGAAACUUCACAACUAGAGUACAGGAGAGGGAAACGGAAUUCCCGGUGUAGAGGUGAAAUUCGUAGAUAUCGGGAGGAACACCAGUGGCGAAGGCGGUUUCCUGGCCUGAUACUGACGCUGAGGCGCGAAAGCGUGGGGAGCAAACAGGAUUAGAUACCCCGGUAGUCC
rnacentral:rRNA from 1 species